UUGCUGUCACGCCCCGGGACCGGCGGAGGCCCUCCCGGUAGCGUGCCCAGACCCGCCAUAUGUCUACACAUAUAAGGCGUCUACAAUAAAAGCGGAAGUAAAGCAAGAGAUAGAACAAAUAAGGAAGUAAAAUAACUAGCAACUAAUGAUAUCAGAGCGAGUAAAGUUCUAUCAUAUACACCAAAGUAAAGAGAUAAAGCUAGACGAUAAAAGAAACCAUAAGUAGUACACUAUCAGUCUCAUAAGUACAAAAAUGGUGGUCUCUAAUACACUGGUAAAACUCUCAACCUCUCACAAAAUAAAAUAACGAGAGGUAGACCACCUAUCGAAUCGCCCUCGAAGGAAGCUAGCUCGAAGCAACUCCCUUCCCACGGUCCCUAGCCUCUCCCGGCGUGGAAGGCUCUGAAAGAAAACAUAAAACACAGGGCGUGAGAACUAUAAUUUAUAGUUCCCAGUGGGCAAUUACUGACCUCAGCUCAAUGCACCAUUAGGCCCCAAAAGAAAAGGGUAAGACAGAGAAGAGCAAUAGUAAUGAAUAAAUUGCAUUUAUGAAAACAUAAUUAGAAAUGCUGAGGUGUUACAUUGUGUCAAACAUGAUGUACACCUAUUUUAUGAUGAACAAGUACGUCCCAACAUAACCACAAGUAAUAAUGUAAUAUACCGAAAAUUCGGAAAAUAAAAUAUCGAACUUUAGUCAAAUUGACCAAAGUGCGAGGAUGGAACACUUCGGAAAGUCCGAAGGUGUUGAAAUGAUUAAAAGUGAGUUGUGGAAGGUUUUCGAGAGCUAAAGAAUUGAAUUCUGCAAAGCUGCAGAUUUUCAGCUCUCGGGGACCGGUCCCUGAAGGGAGAGACCGGUCCCCGAACGCGUAUGAAAUGAGACAGCCGAAAAAUCG
rnacentral:lncRNA from 1 species